rnacentral:sRNA from 1 species
CGGGAGGUGGAGGUUGCAAUGAGCCAAGAUCGUGUCAUUGCACUCCAGCCUGGAGGACAAGAGACUCUGGUUUUUGCAGCAAGUAACUAAUUUAUGGUGUCAAGGCUCCUUCUGUCCUUUUCGGGCUUCCAUUUCUCCAGCAGCAUUUCCACAGCACAGCAGCAAGAGGCCAAGUCAAAUUCCUGCAGAGCUUUGGCAACUGGGAUGAGAAGAAAGCAUAAGAUUUCAGGGAUGAUUUUAUCUUUUUUUAAGCUUAUGAUAAGAAGUACACGUUUUCAAUUGCUCCUCUCAGGCUCUUGGACCACUGCCUCCUUCCCCUUCUCCAGGAGCCGCUUUGCUGUAUUGAUCUGUAGAGAUAACAAAAGGAUGCCUGCCGUGAAACCCAUAUCUACUAACACAGGAAGCCACGGGCUGCAAAUGCCUGGGGCUCUGAUGGGAGAAACAUUUCAGAAGGGCAGCACCAGCAGGGAUGCAGCAGCUUGCUUACUGAGCAGCCUUGUGAACAAGAUCCCGCCUCGCAGCCUCACCUGGGCUUCCGACUGCUGCAUCUCUUUUUCCUCCGCCUCUAGCUGCAGAACUGCAUACACAUCUUUCUCCAUUUUCUCAAUCUUGUCCCGGAAUUUGAGGAUGACAUCUCAAU